rnacentral:piRNA from 1 species
CAGAGGUGACACAUCCAUCCUGAGGUGU